GAGCUUUUGGCUCGGGUUAUAC
rnacentral:miRNA from 12 species